UACGUAGGUGGCAAGCGUUGUCCGGAUUUAUUGGGCGUAAAGAGCGUGUAGGCGGCCGAGUAAGUCCGGUGUGAAAACUCGAGGCUUAACCUCGAGAUGUCAUCGGAAACUAUUCGGCUAGAGUCCGGAAGAGGAGAGUGGAAUUCCUGGUGUAGCGGUGAAAUGCGCAGAUAUCAGGAAGAACACCUAUGGCGAAAGCAGCUCUCUGGGACGGUACUGACGCUGAGACGCGAAAGCGUGGGGAGCGAACAGG
rnacentral:rRNA from 1 species